rnacentral:rRNA from 1 species
GUGUGAAUGGAAUAAGAACUGUAUAUAGUUAUUGAUAAGCAUCUUCCUGUAUUGAUAUUAAAUGACACCAAUAUCUGAAAGUUACUUGUCUACUUCCCCUCUUGUAGUUAACGUUUUGUUUUGAUUUUUGGGUACUUCAGUAAGGUCACUCAUCAAGGAAGUGUCUUCUCGUUACUUGCAUGAUGAAGGACAAAAUUGGUUUUCUAACUUUUCAUUGUAGGUGCUUUGGAAAGUACAACUGUACAAUUAUGCGACAUAAUAAUGCCUGGAAAUUGGCCUAUGGCUGUAUCAUUUAAGAUAUUUUGGCGUCUCUGCCAUCCUAUGGUUGUUCAACUUCUCUUUUGAAACGAGGCUAUCUAGAGGAUUUCAAGUUAUGUCUUAGGAAGACAUUGAUGAAGAUUUGAGAGGCAGGGGGGAUUGCUCAAGUGGAAACAGAGCAAGAACCAGAAGGAGCUUAAGAUUUUGCUACUACCUUGCUAAUAGCUUUCUGAGUUAGGUAUUAUCCAGGCCCAGGUACCCAUCCUUGAUGAUGGAUUCCACGAGCUAAGCUGCAGGGGUGAACUAAGUUGGGAUUUUGCAGCAGCGACGGUCACAACUACCGGUGGAGAUCGAGCUAACGAUCUCCCAAAAAAUUCUACAGAUUCAUCAAACACCGAAGGAGGUUAGUGUAUACCUGAGCGGCAACGGCUGCCGUUGUGGUCUUGCUGGAGCCUCCUUUGCCGUGGAAAGUCACCAGCUUCAGGGAGCGACAGUGGCAACUGCAAGGAUUCGGCUCGCCGAUACGAGCAACGACGACCCCAUUUGCCGAUUCCGCAGCUCCGAGCUGCAGCAGGACCUACCGGGCCACCGAGAUGCAGAUGGAGUUGUUGUGCCUCCGAGCUGUCGGGAUGCAGUGCCUUUGAGCUGCAGUGGGAGCCGCUCCGCUACCAAGCUACAACAUGAGCCGCCCACGAAGAUGGCGCCCAAGCUGCCCUCGUCGGCCUCCUCUUGGUGCUUUCUUACUUCACUUCAGUACGAGUAAGGGGGAGGGGAACACGACGAAGAUCUGGUCGAUGGAACCAAGGAUGCCAGACACGUGGUUGGUGUUCUGUGUCCUGGUGGCAGUCCGUGAAGCAACUAUUGACGUCUGUUUUUGUCCCUCAGCACAUGUAUCUUGAGGGCAAGAUUGUAAUUUUCUUUUAUCUUUGAGGCUUGUGAUGUUACUCAAAUUGUAAUCCUGGUGGAGCCUUUUGGUUCUGGUUUUAAUGAAAGCAGGGAGGCCCCCUCCUUGGGAGGGUAGGGCUCGGAGUUUGCCAAAAAAAGGACCAGCAGUCAACCAUGGAGAAGAAAAUUUGAACAGAAUUGCAAAUUUGCCCGGGGGCAGUAGAGUCAUUUUGCAUGGCAUUGUGCAAAUCAAAAAUAUUUUUCACUUCUUAUGCAUGUAUUAUCAUGAACAACUUUGUUGCCGCACAAACCGUAAAAAAGACAUAAUGUCUUCGGAUCAAAGUGAGAUUUUAUGUUGUACUUUGUUCAGAGGCAAAAUAAGUGGGCAAGUUCCAUCUUAG